rnacentral:snRNA from 1 species
UUUCCUUCUCAGCUUUAGGCUAAGAUCAAGUGUAGUAUCUGUUCUCGUUAGUUUAAUAAAAAAUAAUGUGUGUGGGAGUCGGGCGGUAGCACAGCAGGUUAAGCGCAUGUGGUGCAAAGUGCAAGGACCAGUA